UGACUUGACUUAUUUAAUUUCAUCUUAAUAACACAGUCUCCGGUGGGGCAUGCAGCUGUCGUGGGGUCCUUAUGUUAUCAGCAGCAGAGUUGUAACCAAGCGUUUUUGUUACCUGGGGUCUUCAGAUACAGGAUCCGUCUGGCUAUGUGGAGAAAAGGAGAGAAGUGGUACUGAGAUGCCUGAUUGAGUACAUAUGGGAGGGAAAGGAAGACCUCAUCAGUGUCCACCAUAGUCAUGAUGAAACACAGGUGUACGCUGAGCUUGGCAGUUCCCCACUGAAAAUAUACAUGCGCCAUCAGCCAAACACGAUUGGGAAAAUCACAGUAGAAGGACAGCCCAUGGUCAGAGGUGUGCCAAACCUGUAGAAAACCUCCUGUUUGGACUUGUCUAUGCCCACAACCUCUAAUAUCACUCAAAUCUGGUGUAUACUUCUGAGAUAUAUCACAGGCUCUUUGUGGGAUUGGACCCUAUGCAUACUUUUGUAUGUUUUGUAGGCACUGUUAAAAGUGACACUAGUUGACAUUGAAUAAAUGUUAUUGUCUUUAA